rnacentral:rRNA from 1 species
CGCACGGGUGAGUAACACGUAAGUAAUCUACCUUCGAGUGGGGAAUAACGUCCGGAAACGGACGCUAAUACCGCAUAAUGCAGCGGCACCUAAUGGUGACAGUUGUUAAAGAAUUUAUUCGCUUGAAGAGGAGCUUGCGGCAGAUUAGCUAGUUGGUAAGGUAACGGCUUACCAAGGCUACGAUCUGUAACCGGUCUAAGAGGACGGUCGGUCACACUGACACUGAAUAACGGGUCAG